rnacentral:tmRNA from 1 species
GGGGCUGAUAUAGCUUUCGACAAUUGGACUUUAUCAAGAUAUUCUGCGAGCCGACGAUACGCGUAACGUAUGAUUUUAGAUGCAAGAACAUCUUUGAAAGAUCGUGUUGCUGCAUUCUUUGAUUCGUUCAAAGUUGCUCAGCCGGUCGCUAUCGCUGCUUAGUUUUUUGGCGAUCAUCCUAAUAUCGUGGCAACAGCCGAUGUGUAGGGUGUCAUAUAUAUGUUGCUUGCUGUAUGUUCGGAAGCGGCGGACAUGCGGGACUUUCUCCGCGUAACGAAAUUUGGUUUUUUCGACUCAUUUUUUAGCCAAGCGACGUUAUAAAAUUUUUAAAUGAGCCUAUGUUCGUAGACGAAUAUCAUGACACCAGUUGGACCCGGGGGCAGUACCCGGCAGCUCCACCA